UUAAUGCCAUUUUUACUACGGUCACAUCCGCAACAGUCACGUCCGCAACGCUAUAUCUAUAAAUAUUGUAAUUAAUUACAUUGAUUUUCUUAAUUUUAUAACUAUUUUAACAUUUGAAGUUAAGAACAUUUGAUUUUCACAACAAAAAGCCAUAGAAACACAGGCAUGCCCCAUCCUCAGCGUGGUCAGCUGCCACGAUUUUAUUACAAAUUUAAUAGUUCAAUGUAUUAGCUUCAAGUUUCUUUGAUUUUAAUAUUUAAAUUCUCGAUUUCAAAAAUGAUAUUUUUUCAUGUCUCAUGUGGGAUUGCCCAUGACCAUGUUUAUGACAUUUAUUCAUUUAUUUAUUCAGUGUUUGUUUUAACGUUUACAGGCAGAGAGCGACAUUCGAGCGACGUUCGAGUAUCCAUCAAGGAUACAAAGCUUCUUUUUGUUUCUUCAGAAAUGCUUGCUUGACAUCCAGGAUGGCAGGAAGAUACCUGCAUCCAUAAUCCGAUAUGUUGAGCAAAUCAAUUUCUCCCGGGAGCCCCCCUGCCUUUCUGCAGCAACUGAUUGAUAAAGAUUUUUUGUUAUAAUAUAGAACAUUGUCAAAUUCCAAUUUAUGAACACAAUUUGACUCUGAAUUUAAGAACAAAAGAAUAGGAACUACAUACGGAUUCUGGAGCAGAAUCUCGAGAAUGCUCGAGGGCAGAGUAACAUCCAACGAUACCGGUUCAGCAGGAUGGGCAGCAUCGGUGGAGGUAGUGGGUAAUAUCCCACUAAAAGAACUUCUGGCCGAAUAAGAGGCCCUUCUCCUUGCGGCCACAAUAAGUACAUUAAUGCGUAAGUUAAUUGUUACUCAUGUGAAGUGUGUUGUUGUCCCGGUUUAAUUGUAGGUUAAUAUUUUAAUUAAUUCAUUGACCCCAAACCUUGCACAUGUUCCUAGAAUUGAAUAUUGUAUUAUUUUAAAAUUGUUCCAGAAAUUAUGACUCCAGAAGUUACGAAUACCUCUCCCACAGGGGUCCAUAAAACCAGACAUGGUGUACACUGUUUCUGGGCGAAGACUAGCAGUUAAUAGACAGUAUACUGGAAUUUAUUAUAUUACUUAUAUCACUUGACAAAAGAAAUGAUGCCACAGUUCCUGAACCGGGGUCUCAACAUUGUGGAUUGGGAGUGGUUCCCAAAACCUCAAGUGGCAACAGGGAACUGGCAAGAGCCUGCUUGGAAAACCUCUCAGUUACUGCAAAGCAUGAUCUGAUGAACAAAGAAGUGCUUAGAAAAGUGGAGAAUAAAUUAUGUUACAGCAGAGGUGCUGAUGCAAGAACAACUUGACAACUUUGUUGAAAACCAGUUGUUUGAAACAAUUGGAGAAAACGCCUUGACCAGUAAACUAUACAAAAAGAACAGCGUAAAAAAAGCAUUUUACAUGUUUUAAACGCAUUUAAUACUUUUUAAUUUGUCUAUUGAGCAUAGUGUGGCCUUGCAAGUCUCUUGGGUGGCAAUCGAUCCAUCAAAAGAGCAAGCAUGCUACGGUGUACCAUUCAGACAGGCAGCAUGCAACACGGGCAAAGGAAAGAUGGACAAACGACGAAAUGGUACUUGUGGCCAGAAAGGAAAUAGCUUAGGAAAAGAGUCGGUGUAGCGCCGUAAUUGAAGGGAUGCGAGAAGCAGUUCCACAUUUGGACGCCGUCAAAAGUCUCAAAACCAAGAAUAGGAACUACAUACGGAUUCUGGAGCAGAUUCACGCUGAAUGCUCGAGGGCAGAGUAACAUCCAACGAUACCGGUUCAGCAGGAUGGGCAGCAUCGGUGGAGGUAGUGGGUAAUAUCCCAAUAAAAGAACUUCUGGCCGAAUAAGAGGCCCUUCUCCUUGCGACCACAAUAAUUACCUUAAUGCGUAAGUUAAUUGUUACUCAUGUGAAGUGUGUUGUUGUCCCUGUUUAAUUGUAGGUUAAUAUUUUAAUUAAUUCAUUGACCCCAAACCUUGCACAUGUUCCUAGAAUUGAAUAUUGUAUUAUUUUAAAAUUGUUCCAGAAAUUAUUACUCCAGAAGUUACGAAUACCUCUCCCACAGGGGUCCAUCAUAAAACCAGACAUGGUGUACACUGUUUCUGGGCGAAGACUAGCAGUUAAUAGACAGUAUACUGGAAUUUAUUCUAUUACUUAUAUCACUUGACGAAAGAAAUGAUGCCACAGUUCCUGAACCGGGGUCUCAACAAUGUGGAUUGGGAGUGGUUCCCAAAACCUCAAGUGGCAAUAGGGAACUGGCAAGAGCCUGGUUGGAAAACCUCUCAGUUACUGAAAAGCAUGAUCUGAUGAAUAAAGAAGUGCUUAGAAAAGUGGAGAAUAAAUUAUGUUACAGCAGAGGUGCUGAUGCAUGAACAACUUGACAACUUUGUUGAAAACGAGUUAUGUUUGAAACAAUUUGAGAAAACGCCUUGACCAGUAAACUAUACAAAAAGAACAGCGUAAAAAAAGCAUUUUACAUGUUUUAAACGCAUUUAAUACUUUUUUAUUUGUCUAUUGAGCAUAGUGUGGCCUUGCAAGUCUCUUGGGGGGCAAUCGAUCCAUCAAAAGAGCAAGCAUGCUACGGUGUAACAUGCAGAAAGGCAGCCUGCAACACGGGCAAAGGAAAGAUGGACAAACAACGAAAUGGUACUUGUGGCCAGAAAGCAAAUAGCUUCGGAAAAGAGUCGGUGUAGCGCCGUAAUUGAAGGGAUGCGAGAAGCAGUUCCACAUUUGGACGCCGUCAAAAGUCUCAAAACCAAGAAUAGGAACUACAUACGGAUUCUGGAGCAGAUUCACGCUGAAUGCUCGAGGGCAGAGUAACAUCCAACGAUACCGGUUCAGCAGGAUGGGCAGCAUCGGUGGAGGUAGUGGGUAAUAUCCCACUAAAAGAACUUCUGGCCGAAUAAGAGGCCCUUCUCCUUGCGACCACAAUAAUUACCUUAAUGCAAAUUAUGACUCCAGAAGUUACGAAUACCUCUCCCACAGGGGUCCAUCAUAAAACCAGACAUGGUGUACACUGUUUCUGGGCGAAGACUAGCAGUUAAUAGACAGUAUACUGGAAUUUAUUAUAUUACUUAUAUCACUUGACGAAAGAAAUGAUGCCACAGUUCCUGAACCGGGGUCUCAACAAUGUGGAUUGGGAGUGGUUCCCAAAACCUCAAGUGGCAAUAAUACUGUACUCUAGCUCAGAGAGAAUCUUUGAAGCUGCUGGCGAGAGCAGUGACUCUGUUAAGGUAUCCCAAGGGGUUAAGCAAGGGGAUCCGUUGAGUUCGACGCUAUUCAACUGUGUCAUACACUGGGCGGUCUCAGAUCUCGACCCCACAUAGGCGUCUUACCUAGGGGAGUCAUUUUCCACAAAUUACAGCAAAAAACACCAGUCCAAUUCAAUAUAAGAACGUCAGUUAAUUUCGGGCCCAAGAGGCCCUUCCUUGCGGCCACGAUAAGUACAUUCAUUUAUAAGUUUAUUGUUACUCAUGUGACGUGUGUUGUCCCUAUUUAAUUGUAGUUUAAUAUCUUAAUUAAUUCAUUGACCCCAUAUACCUCGCACAUGUUUCCUACUUCCCCCUUUGCUACUUAUAGCAAACCGAAAAACACUUCAUGUCCAAGCUCUGUCAGCUACCGAAAAAAACUCUCUAAAACAAAUCGAUUAUCAUGUUCUCAGCCAGCAUCAAGCACAAUCCAGCCUCCACCAGCCGUUGCUAUGGCAUGACAGGAUCAUUAAUACGCCCAGACACAUCAGCCACUACCGUCACAACAAACACAAACACCUACACACCAACACCCAGCUCAAACCCAGCUUUUUUUGGAAACGAGUCGAGAAAACGCCUUGGCCAGUAAACAAUCCAAAAAGAAGAGCGCGAAGAAAGCAUUUUACAUGUUUAAAACACAUUAAAUAAUACAUUUUUUAUUUGUCUUUUGAGCAUAGUGGUACUACCGAUUUAAACUAAUAUGAAAGCCAAUACGUCACAAAAUUGUCAAUUGAAAUUGCAAUGACAAGUGAAAGAUGCCGAAAGCAAAGAUAAAAGUUGGAUAAGCCAAAAUGUCUAGAUAUCUUGCCUGCUCUGGAAAUGAAGAUAAUAUAUCCACGUUUCUAAGUACAAACAUGGCUACCGGGUUGAGACUCGCUGCCGAAAAUGAAAGAAGUCCAUGUGAAGAAAACAGCGAGCAGUUAUGAACUGUGCCUCAUCAGCCUUGAAGACUUCGAUAGAAAUGAAGGAGACCGAGUUUUCCUUUUUUCUGGCCGAAUAAGAGGCCCUUCUCCUUGCGGCCACAAUAAUUACCUUAAUGCGUAAGUUAAUUGUUACUCAUGUGAAGUGUGUUGUUGUCCCUGUUUAAUUGUAGGUUAAUACUUUAAUUAAUUCAUUGACCCCAAACCUUGCACAUGUUCCUAGAAUUGAAUAUUGUAUUGUAUUAUUUUAAAAUUGUUCCAGAAAUUAUGACUCCAGAUGUUACGAAUACCUCUCCCACAGGGGUCCAUAAAACCAGACAUGGUGUACACUUUUUCUGGGCGAAGACUAGCAGUUAAUAGACAGUAUACUGGAAUUUAUUAUAUUACUUAUAUCACUAGACGAAAGAAAUGAUGCCACAGUUCCUGAACCGGGGUCUCAACAAUGUGGGUUGGGAGUGGUUCCCAAAACCUCAAGUGGCAAUAGGGAACUGGCAAGAGCCUGGUUGGAAAACCUCUCAGUUACUGCAAAGCAUGAUCUGAAUUCGGUCAGUCCUUGAGUACGCUGCUCCUGUCUGGGCCUCCCUUCCUGAGUACCUUGCAGAGCUUAUCGAAACAGUACAACGAAAAGCUAUUCGAAUAAUCUACCCUUGCCUUAGCUAUGAAUCAGGGCUCAAAGUAGCAAAAAUGGACUCACUUACAGUCCGCAGAGCAGAACUGUGCCGUCGAUUCAUGGCUAAAGCAAGAUGCACUGAGCCUAUAAAAUAUAUAAUACAAUCUGGGACUGAGGUCGCCCAUGGUUAUUCGCUAAGGGGGGGUUGCAGCCGUUUGGAUAAAUCAGUUGGUGUAACUGAAAGGUAUAAUAACUUUAUCACAAUUCGUUUCCAGUAGUUAUUCCAGUAUUUAUUUAUACAUUGUUAAGUGUAGUGUGCAUCGGCCGACAUACUGUAAUUUAGCUUAUGCUACAAAAGUAUGAAUAAACGAUUAUUAUUAUAUUAUUA